UACGUAGGGUGCAAGCGUUGCCCGGAUUUAUUGGGCGUAAAGGGCGCGUAGGCGGCUCUGCACGUUCGUUGUGAAAUCGCCCGGCUCAACUGGGCGGGGUCAGCGGAUACGGCGUGGCUGGAGCAAGCUAGGGGGCAAUGGAAUUCCCGGUGUAGUGGUGGAAUGCGUAGAUAUCGGGAGGAACACCAGUGGCGAAGGCGGUUGCCUGGAGCUUUGCUGACGCUGAUGCGCGAAAGCGUGGGGAGCAAACAGG
rnacentral:rRNA from 1 species